rnacentral:rRNA from 1 species
CGAUGAUGCCCAGCUUGCUGGGUGGAUUAGUGGCGAACGGGUGAGUAACACGUGAGUAACCUGCCCUUGACUCUGGGAUAAGCCUGGGAAACUGGGUCUAAUACCGGAUAUGACCUUCCAUCGCAUGGUGGUUGGUGGAAAGCUUUUGUGGUUUUGGAUGGACUCGCGGCCUAUCAGCUUGUUGGUGAGGUAAUGGCUUACCAAGGCGACGACGGGUAGCCGGCCUGAGAGGGUGACCGGCCACACUGGGACUGAGACACGGCCCAGACUCCUACGGGAGGCAGCAGUGGGGAAUAUUGCACAAUGGGCGCAAGCCUGAUGCAGCGACGCCGCGUGAGGGAUGACGGCCUUCGGGUUGUAAACCUCUUUCAGUAGGGAAGAAGCGAAAGUGACGGUACCUGCAGAAGAAGCGCCGGCUAACUACGUGCCAGCAGCCGCGGUAAUACGUAGGGCGCAAGCGUUAUCCGGAAUUAUUGGGCGUAAAGAGCUCGUAGGCGGUUUGUCGCGUCUGCCGUGAAAGUCCGGGGCUCAACUCCGGAUCUGCGGUGGGUACGGGCAGACUAGAGUGAUGUAGGGGAGACUGGAAUUCCUGGUGUAGCGGUGAAAUGCGCAGAUAUCAGGAGGAACACCGAUGGCGAAGGCAGGUCUCUGGGCAUUAACUGACGCUGAGGAGCGAAAGCAUGGGGAGCGAACAGGAUUAGAUACCCUGGUAGUCCAUGCCGUAAACGUUGGGCACUAUGUGUGGGGGACAUUCCACGUUUUCCGCGCCGUAGCUAACGCAUUAAGUGCCCCGCCUGGGGAGUACGGCCGCAAGGCUAAAACUCAAAGGAAUUGACGGGGGCC